rnacentral:rRNA from 1 species
GGGUUGGGGGCUGCCCUUAACAUGCAAGUCGAACGGUAACAGGGAGCUUGCUCCGCUGACGAGUGGCGAACGGGUGAGUAAUACAUCGGAACGUGCCCAGUAAUGGGGGAUAGCUCGGCGAAAGCCGGAUUAAUACCGCAUACGCCCUGAGGGGGAAAGUGGGGGACCGCAAGGCCUCACGUUAUUGGAGCGGCCGAUGGCUGAUUAGCUAGUUGGUAGGGUAAAGGCCUACCAAGGCGACGAUCAGUAGCUGGUCUGAGAGGACGAUCAGCCACACUGGGACUGAGACACGGCCCAGACUCCUACGGGAGGCAGCAGUGGGGAAUUUUGGACAAUGGGGGAAACCCUGAUCCAGCAAUGCCGCGUGUGCGAAGAAGGCCUUCGGGUUGUAAAGCACUUUUGUCAGGGAAGAAAUCCUUUGGGCUAAUACCCUAGGGGGAUGACGGUACCUGAAGAAUAAGCACCGGCUAACUACGUGCCAGCAGCCGCGGUAAUACGUAGGGUGCAAGCGUUAAUCGGAAUUACUGGGCGUAAAGCGUGCGCAGGCGGUUGUGUAAGACAGGUGUGAAAUCCCCGGGCUUAACCUGGGAAUUGCAUUUGUGACUGCACG